rnacentral:rRNA from 1 species
UACGUAGGGGGCAAGCGUUGUCCGGAAUCAUUGGGCGUAAAGAGCGUGUAGGCGGCCCGGUAAGUCCGCUGUAAAAGUCAAAGGCUUAACCUUUGAAUGUCAGUGGAUACUGCCGGGCUAGAGUCCGGAAGAGGCGAGUGGAACUCCUGGUGUAGCGGUGGAAUGCGCAGAUAUCAGGAAGAACACCAACGGCGAAGGCAGCUCGCUAGGACGGUACUGACGCUGAGACGCGAAAGCGUGGGGAGCGAACAGG